rnacentral:rRNA from 1 species
UGCGUAGGCGGUCUGGUAAGUCAGAGGUGAAAGUUUGCAGCUUAACUGUAAAAUUGCCUUUGAUACUGUCAGACUUGAAACAGGUUGAGGUUGGCGGAAUGUGGCAUGUAGCGGUGAAAUGCAUAGAUAUGCCAUAGAACACCAAUUGCGAAGGCAGCCAGCUGGGCCUUUGUUUGACGCUGAGGCACGAAAGCGUGGGAGCGAACA